GGGAAGGGAGGGUGCUGACCAUGCUCAUGUAUGUAAGUGCCUAACAUACCAAGGUAGUCGGCAAUUACGGGCUGCCUCUUCCAGAAUCAAACCAUUCCCUCACUGCCGAGUCAGGCGGGCUGAGAGUCACCUGAGAGAUGAGGCCAUUCUACACCCCUACCCCCAACCCUAUAGCAGGUCUUUGGAAUCAAAUCUUCAAUAGCCGGCUAAACACACAAGGGGGCGCUUCCCUUUUCCCUCAACUAUGAGAGGUGAAUUCUGCCUCCACGCAUUCAGAUGAGGCGGCUCAGGUCUGUACUGGACCCCGCCUAAGACCUUUUAUGCAGUUUCACACAUGUUUAUUACACCCAGUUCUCAUCCUGGCUAACUCACUCCAGAACACGUUUUGAAUGUCCUGCCGCCUGUGGCGGGUUCUGCAGCGGGGUGGGAGGGUCAUUCCUGGGGAUGUUUGGUCCUUUUCUCUCUCUUGGGGUUGGGGGAGGGGGGGGGUGGUGGGAGACGAGUGGAAAAUAAUCUCUUUAAAUGGUGACAUUUGCUUAAUCACGUUGACAUUUUUAUGGUAUCGAAGCCCUGCUUACCGAAAUAGAACUCCAAUGAAAAGGAUAAAGAAAGCUCGGGCUUAGAUUUGGACACCGCUGUUCAUUUUUAACUUCUUGAGACACACGGCUCUUUUCCAACUCUGGUCGCCGCACUGAAUCACAAAAGGAUUACCUUACUGUUUCGAAGAUCCCGAUUUGGGAAAUAAAUAUGGAGUUCCUUGUUUAUUAUUCUGCCAUUACAUACUUCAGAAAAGAAUUACUCUUUUGUAUCAUUGACAUCUCCACAGUUCCUUAAUUUCUAAAAUCAGGAAUUUACUUUCCCCAUGACUUUUGAUCAGACUUUAAGGUAUUUAUCCAACUUUAAGAAAGAAAUCCAUAAAAAAAUCAUUUUCCUUUUGAACUGGGUGUGGAUACAAAGCCAUUACCAAAAGAGGUUAUGAAACAACUUGAUUGUUAAGGAUGGUGAAGAAUGGGGUAGAGAACUUUCCUUUUUGGGUGAAUUUGGGUGAACUACCAGUGAAUAAGAAAAUGCAGCCCAAAUAGCCUCUCACACGCUACAGAUUCACCGUUCUGUGAUUUAAAACACCCACGUGUUGCGCCUACAUAUUAUUUUCAGAUUUAAUUGUUAUAUCACUUACAGUUGAUGUGCACUUGCCUAACAUAAAUAUUUAAAACAAAAACAAAAACAAAAAUAAAACAAAAACCAAAAACAAACCCCGGAAUCUACUUACGUCUUUUUUUUUUUUUUUGCCCCUACUUUAAGUGCCUAAACCAACCCAGAACGCCCUAGGAUGUUGUCGAAGUGGCGACCAAACGCCACCCACAUCUCCAACGUCCCCUGAGGCUUCCUCAGGGGCCCUUCACUGAACUGGGAACAUAAGUUUUCCCGCUAUUGUCAGCCAAAGCUUGAGUGAGCCGGUAUUCCCGGGGGAUAUCUAAGCGCUGCUCAGCCCUUCAGGCUAAGGCCCCUCAGGCUCCCCUACAGCUGGAAGAGCUACAGGUUGGAAAGACAAGUUAGAUGCAAAAGACCUCUACAGUCCAUUUGUCUCAGGACGAGAACGGCUUCUUCUCGUCUUAAGACUACUAUCCUCGAGGUGAGAAAGAGCAGAAAUUAAAUUUGACAAAACAGAACACUCUCCGUGUUACGCUUCAUGCCAUAAUAAGUCCUGAAGUUAAAAGUUUGAAGAUGUGGUGUAAAAUGUAAACACGAAUGCACUGUGGUGCUCGGUAGUCCACGUGAUUAACGAAUCGAGUCAGAGAUCCUACUGUGAAUUCACAUGCUACAGAGAUUAUUAUCCCAGAGGCCAUAUCCUGUGACAUUAGGAUCCAGGGAAAAACUAGGGGUUUGAAAGUCCAGACUUAUUAACCAAGAUCCUCUUGUAGGGUGGCCAAAAAUCAAGGCUCUUCAUUAGCAAAGACCACAAAUCAAACCCCCCACAUAUUGACCUUUCCUUACUUUUAUUGGACAUUGGCCUUCAGCAGGUGACCGAAUGCUCGAAUCCCUGCCGAGGCCUCCCAUACACACGGGAGGCUAUUUUAAAAAAAAAAGAAAGAAAGAAAAGAAAAGAAAAGGAAAGGGAAAAAAAAGGACUCUGCAGGGCAACGUGUGAACUAAUAGUACAGAUCUAAGACAACAACUCACAGAUAUUUACAAACUUACACAAGCAAUGCAUACUUGCGACUGGUCCCUAUAUGGCUGGACAUCUUUUCGUAUCAGUAUGUUCUGCCUUGGCCCGAGAUAUACACCUAAUAUUUUUUAAAGGUUUCAUUCCUGAUCAUGGAAGCAUAACCUACUCAUGUUGCAAAUAAAUAAGUAUAUUAAAAAGAAAGGCUGAGUUAAAAGUUUUAUUCAUUCAACAUCUCACAUUACAAAUAUUUAAAAAUUAUAUGCAUACUGGUAUAAAUAGUCAUUUGCAAACUAUUUAAUAACAUUAAUUUUCCACUAGCACUUCAACAAAUGAACUCUUUUAAAAAAGGAACUGUGUUAUAUAACUUAAGAGUAGAACAUACAAAAAUAGGAACUUAACGUGAAAAUGACUUUAAUAAAAAAUGAAUUACCCUUAUUUAAAAUGCUAUAAUAAAUACUACAACCUCCCCAUACACAGUAAAAACUAUAUGGAAAUUCAGCCAAGUAGUACAAUUAACUGACAUACUUAAAUAACUUUUCCUUCUGAUAAUAUGAGCAAUACACUGGAAAAAAAAAAAAAAACAUUAGGGAUUAGUAAAAACUAGACACCCACUUGCUAAAAGUUUCACUUCCAAAAAAUAUAACAAAAAUCUGAUGAAAAUUAUAAAAACUAAUUAUACUUUAAAUUUUAAAAAUAUAAAAAAUAAAACAGUUGAAUACAAUAUUGUCCCAAUUCUUACAAUGCUAUCAAUCACAGUAGCUUUAAAAUAAGAUAAUAAAAUAAAGCAAAUGACCAAAACCUCUUUUAUUCCAUUUUUAAAAAUAAUCUCAAAUUUACAUUAGUAGAAAGAUUGAUUUCUGAUUCUUUUCUUUAGAAACACCAGCAAGAAAGAGGAUUACUCUUAACAGUAGAAAAUGACAUUUUUAAAUGUCUGCAAUUAAAAACAAAGAAUUACACUGCAAAGAUCUUUCAAAAGUUUGAAAUAAGUAUUGCACAUAACUUGAAGUUAACUUGCCACAAUUCAUCACAUUCAAGUUUUAAAUCACCUUUUAACAGAAGAUUCAACUCUUCAAAACAAAAGGGGUGAAUUAUCAAGUCUUUCCAACAGCACUCUCAUAAAAUGCUAAAUUCGUUCACUGCAAGUUUUAUUUUGCAUUCUGCAGAGGUCUGUGUAUGGAGAAGUAUAUAUAUUAUACCAAAGCGUGGGGACCAGAAGGGGAAGGGAGAGAGGGUUCCUUUACAUAGAAAAUAAUCAGAAACACUUUAUUUUACAUUGCAAAAAUAACCAUGUAAUUACUCUGUAACUACAUUGUAAGUACAUGGCUGGUGCCAUGCUAGUGUGCUAGAACUACAUGCUUGGUAAAUUGAAGUGAUACCCUAAAAUCUGUAAACUAAUUCCAUGUUAAUUAUGUUUUGAGUUACAUGGUAACUCCCAACUACAAUCCCGUGUAAUCUGAAGGACAUGUAAUCAAUAACGUUCAGAGUAAUAGAUAAUAAUUGUUUAUGCCCUGUAAAUUGAAGUGUAACCAAAUAAUCUGUAAACACGCUUGUCACACAAUCACAAGUAAAUAUUAGUAGAAUAACAAUUUCUUACAUUAGUCAUGCAUACUAACAUUACACACCUGUCCCACGGCAGGCUAUUUUUUUUUUCUUUAUAUAUAAUUAAAAGAGCAGACAUCUCUGAAUCAAACACUUAACAUCAAUUUAUUAAUAUUAAAAAUGGCUAAACAUUCACCAAGAAUGUCUGCGUUGUGAAUAAUUUUAAAAACUUAGUAAGAAGCUGUAGACAAUUUUGUUAUUUUAAAUUUCUACCCUAUGCUUAUGCGUUUAAUUUUUUGUCUUUUUAGGAACUACCGUGUUAUCUGUCAUUUUCAUGCGAAUUUUUUUUCAUUAAUUUGUGACUUUACAUA